rnacentral:lncRNA from 1 species
CCCGGAAGAGAGAGAUGCGAGGGUUGGUCGGCAGAAGCUGACACAACAGCGCGAAGCUGAUUAUUAAUCGGACAGAGUUCGGUGCCAGUUGCGCCAGACAGAGUCCGUAAUAAUCCAGCAGAUUCCGGACGAACUCCGGAAUCGGAAGCCGAAGACCCGCGCGAAGAUCUUCGACGUACAGCGCCAACUGGUCCGGCGGAGGGUUGUUAAUCCGAUCGCCGACCCCUGGGGCGGAAAGUUGAAACUGC